CAAAUACUCCCUCCAUCCGGAAUUUGUUGUCGCAUAAAUUGAUAAAAAUGGAUGUAUCUAAACUGAAAUAUCUCUAGAUACAUUCAUUCAUAUGACAAGUAAUUUAGGACGGAGGGAGUAGGAA
rfam:Hordeum vulgare subsp. vulgare, WGS project CAJW01000000 data, contig: morex_contig_86060